GAAAGUAAUGAAAGAAAUAAGGGGCCCAGGUUUUCUGCUUUCAAUCUUGACUUUUUUAUAUUUCAGCUGAAUUUGAGAUGAGAACAUACUUUGGAAACAACCAAGGAGCAUGAAGGAAUUUAUCCCCAAGGCCAAGAAAGUGGACUCUCUCUAACUUAAGCAGAAGAAAGAUUUACGUGAGGGGUGUUGGAUAAUCACACAAUUGAUAUGAAAAAUCUGAAAAACCAGGCCCCAGAGGAAGAGAAGAAGAAGCACCACAAUCCCACCACAGCCAUGGCCUCUGUGAGUUGUGCCCACUGGCGUCUCCUACACUCCCGUUCCUGAGCCACUGCCCACGUCCCUGAAGCCACUUGAAUUUGAAGUCUCAGAAUGUGGAUGUGAAGAGCUUGACCAGGGAAGGAGGCUGCAGGCUUCUUCUGUCACCAACAAUCCCCCUGCUCUGGUCUGACCCGGGAUCCCCAAGUACAGUGGUUCUCCCAGGAGGCUCUCUUGAAAUUGUCAGAAGAUGGUUUGGGG